CUAGCGUGGGAACCUCAUAUGCCGCAGGUGCAGCCCUGGAAAAGACAAAAAGACAAAAAAGGAAGUGGCCCUAAAGAAAGAAAGAAAGAAAGAAAGAAAGAAAGAAAGAAAGAAAGAAAGAAAGAAAGAAAGAAAAAUUUGCAUUAAAAUUAUUUGCGCUUCUCUGAGUCUUCUGACUAAUGAUUUCAUAAAUGUAUAUUCCUGAACCUGAUUUCUGAGGACAUAACCACCUACAUGGUGUGACUUGAGGGACAAAGCUCUCCCACCCUGCCUGCUGUAGUGCCUCAAUUCAUACUCAAGAUCAGUUCUCUGUCCUUGUCCCAUCUAAAAUUCCUAGCCCAUCGCACAGGGGUAUGUGGGCCACACCGUGAGAAAUCUUGAAUUAGAGAUUGCAACCUUUUGUCAACUAAUUUGCCAUUUGCUUUUGAGGAUGGAGUUCUUUGCUGUAGAGAGGUUUUGGGUUUCUGGGUGGCUAAGUCUGUCAUUCUUUGCCUUUGUGAUUUUUGCUUUUGGUAUCAAGCUUUCAAAGUCCUUGGCUAGCCCGAGGUAAUUUAAAAUAACUACCUCCUGAGUGCCUGGUGGUCUGACAACGAAUAGGCCCUCUUGGCUUAAGGCGCAUGCUCUGUUGAAAACACAAAUGCAUUUGCAAACUUCACGUUCAUGGUUUGCAUACAUCAUGGGAACCUUGAUAUGUAAGAAAUUAUCUUGGUGCUGAGGCAUAGAUGUGAAUCCACGUGCUAAGAGGCUUUAGGCGGUGAGUGCUCCUAUUGCUCUACCAGCACCUAUUACAUAUAUUACAUAUAUAAUGUGUAUUUUCUAUAUGCAUAUAAAAUAUAUUAGAUAUUAGAUAUAUACAUGUAUAGCAGCAAAAUGUAUGUAACGCAAAAUUUGACAUUUUAACCGUUUUAAGGGUACAAUUCAGUGGCAUUAGGGAUCUUCACAGGGUUGUGCAGUCAUCACCAUUAUCCAUUUCCAGAGCUUUGAAAUCAUCCCAACCAGAAACUCAGUACCUAUUAAAUAAUAACUUCCUAUUCUCCCCUUCCCCCAGCCCCUUGGUAACCUCUAUUCCACAUUCUGUCUCUAUGAAUUCACCUAUUCUGGAUUAUUUCCUGUGAGUGGAAUCUUGCAAUAUGUGGCCUUUUGUGCCUGACUUCAUUCACUUAGCAUCUUGUUUCCAAGGGCCAUCCAUGUAUCAGUACUUCAUUCCUUUCUAUGCCUGAGUAAUGUUCCACAGGAUGAAUAUACCGCAUUUUGUUUAACCCAUUCAUCUGCCCAUGGACCCUGGGGUUGUUUCUACCUGUUUGUUCUGGGAAAGAACGCUGUUACGGACAUUGGUGUACAGGUAUCUCUUUGAGUUCAUUCUUUUGGGUCUCUACCUAGGAAUGGCGUUGCCCGGCACCUACUUUUCAACCCAGUUUUGUGGUCCUCUACUCAUAGUCAAUCCAUACAAGCGUAGUAAUGCCCAUGAAAUGGGCGAACGUCUGUUUCUUUGGGGAAAAUGCCCCUCCCCAAGUCUCCUGCUUGUUCGAGUGAUUACAAUGAAAAGAAAGCUACGACGUUUAACCAAAUGACAGAAAUAGAAGCUUUACGGGGGAAAUGAUAUGCUUUCGGGAUGCUCCGGAAUUAGGGACUGGCAGAAGUUUGAGUGUCUUUUUCAUGAAUGGCCAGGGUCUACCCGAGUUUCCCACUCAGCGUUUCCUCUUUACAUGCGACGGCUUUACUCGUCAUGGACCACUUUGUGUGCAUUGGUUUAUCGGAGCUUCCUUCGGGGUGACAGCUCACUGGGAGUAGGGUUCUAUGGGAAUGGAACAUGGAAAAACCAAGUUUGGAGAAAAGAAGCAGAGAGACGGGGCCGGAGUCCUUGAAAGGCUCGCUGCAGGGCUCUGGGCAGCCUGAGAGCUCCAGAGGUCUGGAUGGGAGGUUCAGGCUCUUCGAGAAAGGUGGCGAGAACUGAACAUGUAUUUCACCUCCUCCUUUUCCUCCUCCAGUUUGCCAGGAAUGGACCCAUGGGAGCCCACACCUCAGAAAAUACCUCUUUCCAGGGUGACCUUACUUUCCCUCCCUGCCUGAGGAGAAGGUUAACAAUGCUGCUUAUAUGUGCACUUCCAGAUAAACUGACCAGCUCUCAAUUCCAGGUAGAGCAUUGGAUCCUUUCCAUAACAGGUCCUGAAGGCCAGGAAGUCUGGGUAAAUGGAGAUGGAUGUGUCUGGCCAAGGCCACCAAGGUCUCUGGGUCCCCUGAGUGAGGGAGCCCAGCAGAGCGCUUGGGAGUGGCUGAGAGGAAGAGGGUUGACUGCACGUGGUGGCCAUGGUGCUGUGUUUGCUCAUCACGAUUCUGCUCCUACCUGAACUUUCUCCUCUUAUGUAAGGCAUCUCUCAAGAUAACUACACAGCCACAAUCGGCCAUAGCUGGCUGGGUUUACAUAACAAAUUGGUUGGCGUCAUGCAAUGGCCUCUGGAAAAGCCAACGUGCUGAGUGGGCCUGAGGCUUGGGCUCACUUGGUGGGGCACUCUGUGUGCUCAGUGCACUCAAGGGAGAGCAUUCCUUGACCACAGGGGUCAAAAAAAGACGAAAUUUCCCUUUUAGAUGAAGAGGGCAAUAAUGGCCUGGACGUGUUGUGCUGUCCCAAUGCCUGCAAUAAUGGGACAAGGGUUAGGGCUUUGCUGUGGGGCCCCAGCUUUGGCAGAGCAGGCCCUCCUUCGAACCCUGUGGGCUAAUGGGAUCUCCGGGAGGGCCAGAAGGCUAGAUCCCAGCCUCGAAUGAUGAGGAGUCAGGGCAGGGAAAGGGAUCACGGAAGCCACCGUGUACCACGCCAAAAUCCAGUUUAGCUAAGGAGUCAGAGUUGGGGAUAAGACGAGGUCUGUGAGAAUAGAGAACGAGCUUUUUUCGGAUGCUAAUCCAGGCAGGAGGGGCAAGGCCAAGUCCCUGGUACCUUCUAGCUGGAAAGCCCUGCCCCAAAGGAGCGACUGCUCUUCUGGAACCAGUUUAAGGGGUGUGAGAUCCCAGCCAGCACAGAGACUGAUUGGGAAGCUUCCCAUUGUGCAGACACUGGCCCAAAGGGAAACAAGAGCCAGAAGCACGCCUGGUCAGCGAGGCCUCAGGCACGCUAUCAGCCUUCCUCCCCUGGGAGCCACUUUCCUCAAAUAGACCGAGCCUGAAAUCAGGCCCCUGCCUGUGGACCAAGCCCCACAGGGACCUUCCCCAUCCUUCCUCGAAGGAAGAAUUUACUCACGAAACAACCCUGGGUAUGCAACCUACUUCCUCUUGUCUCCUUUUCAGGGGAGAUGGAGAGCAGCUGCUCACAGCUUAGGGGUCUGGCCAGGAGUCCGGCUCCGAGCUUUCUAGGCUGGUGAUUGGCUCCAGCUAUCCCUGAGGAAGAAAGGGGUGAGAAGUGAGAGGAAGGGAAGCAGUUCCAACGGCUCCUUCCUGGCUUACACACCCCCCCCACACACACACACACACCUCCCUUUCAGCCUCACUCCCAGACUAGGCUGGGCCUGGGCCAGCCUGAGGUCCCUGACUCAUAUCUCGCGUAGUGCCUUAUGUAACAGAGCCAGGUUACUGAGGCAUCAAACCUCUGCUUGCUCAGUGGCAGGCUUCCCCGGGGCCAGGCAUUCAGAAGCCCGCUGGGGGUCUAAGUAGAGCUCGCCACACUUCCAAAGGACAAGGCCACUCUCCCUAGUGUCAGGCCAGCAGGCUGCUCAGAGGUAAGUGCCAGGCUGUGAAGGCGAUUCCCCCCAGAACUCCCACGCUCGGCAGCAAAUGUAAGCAGGCAGGUGUGCUGCUAUGGGCUUAGUGUGGUUGGGGGUAUUUUUUGAGGGGUAGGGGUGGGGCUCCUGCCAUCACCUGAUUGUACAGUGCUAAAGAGACAGCCUGGGGCAUCUGGAAGGGUCCCAGAACAGGUGUCAGAAGUUCUUCUCACUUUUGUAUCUGCUUGUUGGUUCAGGUACUGUUCUGGAGACCUUAUAGAAAAGGUUGCCAGAUGCUGGAGGAGCUCUUUUUGUUUGUUGGUUGGUUGGUUGGUUGUUUUUGCUUUUUAGGGCCUCAUCCGUUUCUGCUGCACCACAAGGGAAACUCCAGGAGGAGCUUUUUAAAAGAAGGCCUAGGAGUUUCCAUCGUGGCUCAGUGGUUAACGAAUCCGACUGGGAACCAUGAGGUUGCCAGUUCAAUCCCUGGCCCGCUCAGUGGGUCAAGGAUCCAGCAUUGCCAUGAGCUGUGGUGUAGGUUGCAGACAUGGAUCAGAUCCCGCGUUGCCGUGGCUCUGACAUAGCUACAGCUCUGAUUCGACCCCUAACCUGGGAACCUCCAUAUGCCGCAAGUGUGGCCCUAAAAAGAUAAAUAAAUAAAUAAAUAAAUAAAUAAAUAGAAGAAGGCCUAAAAGAGCCAAUUCCCAAUCCAUUCUCCAUGUAGUCUCAAAGUUCCCAGGCUGGCUUGCAUUCACAGUGAUACUUAGCUCUCCGCCUGGCCUGUUGAGAAAAUUGCAUUACUGGCUUGGUGCAGCUGAGCCCCCAGUGAAGUGGGGCUUGCCGAAUUCCACGACAUAUUUCUCUAAGAAGCUCAUUCGACUCUCUACAACACAGGAGAGUCUCAUCCAUCUAACAGCCCGUUGGCUCAAACGUUGUGACUAAACCCACCCAGGUCCUCUUCUUCUCUUUCCUUGUCUUUGCCCAGCCUUUCCCACUGUGUCACCAGCGGGUAAACGGCUCACAGGCUGAGGGUAGUUGAAGACACUGCCCUCCUGUCUGAGAAAAAGAGGAAGACACAGGGAGAUAAAGUCAAAAAGGCGGCCUGGGAAUUACCAGCCGACAUGAUUUGUAUCUGAAGCUCAGUCUCACGGAUCCUCAGACAAGCUCAAGACCUCUAUCUUGGCGCUCCAGAGAGCUGGGCACCUCAACUUCUCUGAAUCUCUGCCAGAACCCAGUGAAAACGGGGGGCGGGGGCUGAGGUGGAGGUGCAGAAUUUUCCUUUCUUGAGAUCCCCUCUGGGGCCUCCAGCCUCUCACUUCUCCCUAUUCCUCAAUCCUUUCGGUUCAUAGCCAAUCGCAGGUAAAAACAAAACAAAGCAACCAGAAACAACAAGGAAUAAGAAGAACCCUGCUCAGUUUUAAGGCAAUAUACUCUGCCUCGCCAGGCACGCAGGGAGAUGAAUGACAGCAGUACCUCGUUCGGCCUUGUACUGAGUGACCAAGCCCUCCAGUUAAUCAAUGCAUCAUUUAUCGACCACAGGCCUGCUAUUUAUCCAGUGCCUCCUGCGGAUUUAUUGACCGUCUCCCUCACUAAGCACCGUAGAGGACAGGAGAGGCGGCAGAGUCGAGGGCCCGAGCUGGGGGUGGUGGUGGUGGGGGCAGCCGAGAAUGAUGCAGCUGCACCCCAAGGCCGGCGGGGAAUAAAGCACUUCCAUCUGAGCAACAGCAGGUCGUGUUAGGCCUUCUGCUUCUUAACGGAGAGGCCUCAAGCUUGCUGCUCCCUGGAUCUGCGAGUCCGGAGCUUAGGCGGUGCCAAAGCCAACUAGGAAGGGAGAGUCUCUUUAUGGCGGCGGCUUCCAGCAGGGCCUCAAAGAAUGGGUUGGCUCUGGCUGGUGGGAAGCGGCUGUGGGGGCUCUCUUGUUGGGAGCGGGGAGGGGAACCUUGCCAGUCCAGUGGGACUCAAGGGUCAGAAGGAGCUGGCCUGGGGUGGGGACAGGGAGAACGUUUCCUCUUCUUCCUGGGCUGGAACCCAGAGUCAGCCAGCUUCAGGAAUGAGAGGCUUCCCCUGGCCCUUCUCUUAUGGCCCUUCUGUGACUCAGGGCGAGCUGGCCCCUAGUAGCCUCCCCUCGGAGACUUAGCCAGUCUUGAGAAGGCAAGGGGGCCUUUGGGGCCCGGGAGCAGGAAGGCACCUUUCCUCAAUGCUUGCGGAAAGUUCAUUGGAGUCAGGAGGGUUGAGCUUGAAGUGCAGCUGAGCGUUGCCACCGGAGGAGCCGUUGGGUGCAGCUUCACAUCUGUGCACCUCUGGCCUCAGUCUCCACCAGGCCCCAUCCCGGGGGUAAGAGAACCACGGGUGUGUCGAGGUGCUGUCCUGAGACUAUAUAUAUGUACCAUUCGCCCAAAUCUCCCUGGAAAAAAAGUUGCUGGUGGCCCCACGGGGUGUUUGUUCAUCUUAGCCUUGUGUGUCCCUUGGUCACACCCUUCUUUCCCAGAUGCUCUAUAAAUGAAGGCCUGGGGGUCGGGCUGAGGAAGGAGGGAAGCCUCAAGCUGACCGGAAAGGAGAGGGAGCAGAAGUCAUAAAAGGGACCAGCCUCAGGGCACCUGGGGAAGGAGGAUGCUGCUUAUGUCCAUAAGCACGAUGCUUUCUGGGCCCUUCUCCCCCAGCUAGUGUCCUGGGCAUCCGUGCCCACCAGUGCUCUGGCGAAUUCACAUUUCAGUUCGGGAACAGAUUCAGUCAACCACAAAAAUUGCUGUAUGCCUUCCAUGUACCAGGCUCGCUGCUAGGCACCGAGAUAGAAUGGGAAACUCACAAAAGGCAUGGUCACAGCCAUCAUGCAAUAGUCAGUCGAGUGGGGGAGAUGGACAUUAACCAAAUCGUCACACUAAUGAAUGUAUAAUUAGAAAAGAAGUGCCAAGAGGGAAAAGGAAUAAACUUCUGUCAGAGCGUCUAACAAAGGAUAAGACAAGGCUUCCUGCGGAAGUGAUAUUCAGCUAAAGGAAUGAAUCUCUAUUGCUGAAAUUCUGAUCAUCAGAUGAGAUGAUUUCUCCCGGCCAAAGGAGAAAGGUUUAGACAGGGGGCUGUCUCAGGAGCCCCUGAAGUCAUACCAUUAGGUAGCUGCUCACACUCUUGGAAAUAUUUCCAGGCCGUGAGCGGCCAGUAGGUCCAGAAGGGGAGGUCUGGCAACAUUCUGACAAGAGGAAGAGAUGAAUUUGAAGCCCACGGGGCAGCUAGUACUUAAUGUCACUCUUCGCUAAAAAUAGUCCAUGACAGUAUGGAAAUGCGUAAAGGCUGGCCCUGGGGACUGGUGAUAAAGUGGCUAUAGCCUAUGGGGAGGAAAAUUUGUUUUUGUAAAUUAUUUACUGUAAAGAAAAAAAAA
rnacentral:lncRNA from 1 species